UGCUAAGAGAAAUGACAUCCAAGAGGGACACAGACAAACAUUUGUCCAGAUGAGCUGCGGUAACAGGAUUGUGUUUGGACAGGAGCUUCUCUCCGCAGGGAACAAGCUUUAGGAACAAGCUGAAGAAAUUGAGAAAUAUAUGCCGGCGGUUAUUCUGAAAACGUCUGUUUUCCACUGGAAUGAAGCUUUUACAGCCCCCUCGGUUGGAGAGAGAGAGGGAUGGAAUGAGAAAGAGAGCGAGUGAAACAGUGAAUCAUGAGUGCAGCUUUGAACAACAAGGGGAAAUCCUCCUAUUGAGAAGGCAUGCGCUGUGGAAACAUGCAUCACUCAUAGAGAUUUCACAGAGCUUUUCUCAAGGCUUCCAUCUUCAGGCUUGUUGGUUAGUCACAGUCCACACAUGCUGGAGAAUGCUGGAAUUACACCAAAACAAGGGCAGAGCGUCUUGUGUAAGCAGUUUUUCCUUGAGUGAACUCCUGCAGAAUAAAUAGUCAUACAGCAUGAGGCAUUCUUGGGGGAAGUGAUUAAAGCCUGAGAAGGGGGUUGGAAGGGGCAGAACAAUUACCCUGAAGAGGCGUUGGGCCAGACCCCUGCAGGUGGAGCUGACAGGGCGAGACCUCGGGCUGUCACAAGCUAUUAGCUAGGCAGAGACGGCCAGAGAACACACACUCAGAUGGAGCAACUAUACGAAGAAUAGCUUUUUUCUGCUGGUCUAGACUAUGUUCAGCAUACUACUUGUACUGUUUCUUUUGUGUAUUGUUGUAAGUGCAGUAUGGACUACAUUCUGCAUGCAUACUAUAUUCACCAGGCUAUACAGCAAAUGAUUGUGAAGUGCAAUAUAGGGCCACAGACUUUAAUCGCUCAGUCUUCUCUAUAAGAGUUGUCACUUGUCAGUAUUUGGAACACACUACAAAAUAACAUUAGACAGUGUUCCACCUUUGCUUAAUUUAAGUUAUGACUAAAAAUAUGACUAAAGACGAGCCAAAUAUGCGAUUGUUGAAAACCUUUUUUAUUAUUAUUGAUUAACAUUCAUUUAUUUUAGGUGUAUUAGCAUUUAUUAUAGUGCAACCUGCUUGUAAUUGUAUUACUGCUAUUUGUAAUUUUUUUUUUGCAUUAGGUGUGAUGUUUUAUGUAUGUUAAUUAAUGAAUGUUUUAAUUACAGCGUAUAUUGCUUUUUUCCUGCUUAGGGGCUGCAGAUGAAAUUUAGUACAUUUCCAAUAAUUUAUAAA
rnacentral:lncRNA from 1 species